GCCGGUUGCUCCCCUCUCUCUCCCCUCCCCUCCCCAACGCCGGCCGCGGGGGCCGGGGCCGGGGCCGGGGCCUGUGAAACACUCCUCUCCUCCCUUCCUGUCCCGGCAACAGCUGUGGAAAAAACCCUCCAUUCCCUUCUCCUAACCCCGUCCGUCCCCUAUCCACUACUACACCCUCCGUACUCCUGCCCUCUACCCUCCUAACCCUAAUCCCGCACUCUGUCCUUCUACCCUUUCGUGUCCCAUCUCCUCUGCCCUUCACUCCCCACCCCACUCCGCCACUACCCCUCCCUUUCCACUUUCCUACCUCCUCGCGCCCCUCUACCUCUCUAUUACACACCUUUCUAUUUACUUUCAUUGAUUUGCUGCCCCAUCCCCCAUUUGUGUGUGUUUAUUCAUGAAUACUUUCCUUUGUCAUGUCGUUAUCACAGAGAAACUGCAAUCAUACCCACAUACGAGGUUGUAGAGGAGGAAAAAAUACCUGGGAUGUAGGUGUGGCCGGAAAGGCAGGCAUUUAGUGUUAGUUUGUACUGGUAACUGCGUUUUGAGAACCUGGCAGGAAGCUCUUUCAUCUACUGCUGCAGUUCCUCCUGGUAAAGGACGAGAGUUUCUGGCUCAGUCCCAGCAAAGAACCAUACUUCCAGGGCAGAAGAGUGUGUGGCUUGGAAGGGAAACUGCUGGCGGAUCCCAAUCACCUGCUGUCUUCGUCUAGGCCAACAGCAGAUGCCAUUUCAUUUGCUCUUCACUCUGGACAGUGAAGAAUCAUUCUUCAUUGGCUACAUCUCAGCAUUCAGUACUAGCAAUCCCUCAAAACUAUUCAAUAAGCUCCAAGACCUGGGCCUCAGUACUUCCUUGUGCAACUGGAUCCUCAAUUUCCUCACUUGCAGACCCCAGUCAGUUCAAAUUGGCAACAACAUCUCAUCCACAAUCUCCAUCAGUGCAGAUGCACCACCAGGCUCUGCUUAGUCCCCUGAUUAACUCACUUUAUACUUAUGACUGUAAAGCUAUGCACAGCUCCAAUGCCAUAUUUAAGUUUGCCGAUGACACUACUGUCGCUGGCCAAAUAAAAAGUGAUGAUGAACCAGCAUAUAGGAAGGAAUUUGAAAAUCUGGCUGCAUGUUGCCACAACAACCUCUCACUCUAUGUCAGCAAGACCGAGGAGAUGGUUUAUUGACUACAAGAGGAGGAAACCAGAGGUCUAUAAUCCAGCCCUCAUCAGAGUAUCAGAGGUAGAGAGGGUCGGCAACUUCAAGAUUCUCGGUGUUAUCAUUUAAGCCCCUCUGCUUUCUUAGAAAUUUGUGUAGAUUUGACACAUCAUCUAAAACUUUGACAGACUUCUGUAGAUGUGUGGGUGUAGAGUUUUUUGACUGGUUGCAUCACAGCCUAGGAUGGAAACACCAAUGCCCUUGUACGGAGAAGUCUACAACAGGUAGUAGAGACAGCCCAGUGCAUCACCGGUAAAGCCUUCCCCAUCACUGAGCACAUCUACAUGGAGCACUCUCACAGGAAAGCAGCAUCCAUCAUCAAGGACCUCCAGCAUCCAGGCCAUGCUCUCUUCUCACUGUUGCAAUCAGGAAGGAGGUACAAGAGCCUCAGGACCAAAUAUCAGGCUCAGGGACAGUUUUUGCCUCUUAACCAUCAGGCUCUUGAACCAGAGAAAAUAACUUCACUACCCCAACACAGAUCUGUUCCCACAACCUAUAGAUUCAUUUUCAAGGACUCUUCAUCUCAUGUUCUCGAUAUUUAUUGCUUUUUUUUGUAUUCGUACUGUUGUCUUUUGCACAUUAGUUGUUUUCUGUCUUGUUCUGUGCAGUCUGUCAUUGAUUCUAUUGUGUUUUAAUGUGAAUACCUGCAAGAACAUGAACCUUAGGGUUGUACAUGGUGACAUGUAUGCACUUUGAUAAUAAAUUUACUUUGAACUUUGAA